AUUGAACGCUGGCGGCAGGCCUAACACAUGCAAGUCGAACGAGUGGCGGACGGGUGUGUAAUGUCUGGGAAACUGCCUUAUGGCGGGGGAUAACUCCUGGAACCGGUAGCUAAUACCGCAUACCAUCGGAUUUGCCCAGAUGGGAUGAGCUAGUAGGUGGGGUAAAGGCUCACCUAGGCGACGAGCCAUAGCUGGUCUGAGAGGAUGACCAGCCACACGGGAACUGAGACACGGUCCAGACUCCUACGGGAGGCAGCAGUGGGGAAUCUUGCACAAUGGGCGAAAGCCUGAUGGAGCCAUGCCGCGUGUGUGAAGAAGGCCUUCGGGUUGUAAAGUACUGUCAGCGGGGAGGCGGUACCCGCAGAAGAAGCACCGGCUAACUACGUGCCAGCAGCCGCGGUAAUUC
rnacentral:rRNA from 1 species